AGAGUUUGAUCCUGGCUCAGGAUGAACGCUGGCGGCGUGCUUAACACAUGCAAGUCGAACGGGGGCGUGAUGUGCGAGAGGGAUAGUUUACUAGACUUCAAACUUUUCACGCCCUAGUGGCGGACGGGUGAGUAACGCGUGGGUAACCUGCCAUAUACAGGGGGAUAACACUUAGAAAUAGGUGCUAAUACCGCAUAAGCGCACAGGGGCGCAUGCCCCGGUGUGAAAAACUCCGGUGGUAUAUGAUGGACCCGCGUCUGAUUAGCCAGUUGGCAGGGUAACGGCCUACCAAAGCGACGAUCAGUAGCCGGCCUGAGAGGGCGGACGGCCACAUUGGGACUGAGACACGGCCCAAACUCCUACGGGAGGCAGCAGUGGGGGAUAUUGCACAAUGGGGGAAACCCUGAUGCAGCGACGCCGCGUGAGUGAAGAAGUAUUUCGGUAUGUAAAGCUCUAUCAGCAGGGAAGAAAAUGACAGUACCUGACCAAGAAGCCCCGGCUAACUACGUGCCAGC
rnacentral:rRNA from 1 species